CUCGAAAAACUUGUUCUUUCUGGUUGCUCAACACUUGAUGAGCUGCCCAGCGAUCUUGGGAAAAUGGAAUCACUAAAGGUGCUUCAUGCAGAUGGUAUAGUAAGUUCUAUAACUACACCAUGGCAUUUAACCUUCUGGUCCUGGUUAUCACAAAGGCAAGGCAGAGAGUUCUCUUUUCCACUGACUCUUCCACCUCACUCCUUAGUAAGCCUAAGUCUUGCCAAUUGCAAUCUAUCAGAUGAUACUAUAUACUUUAGUAGCCUCCGCUCCUUGAAAUAUUUAAAUUUAAGUGGAAAUUCAAUUUAUUGCCUACCUAAAAGCAUCAAUAGCC
rnacentral:misc_RNA from 1 species